CAAAUUCUUGCUUGUUGAGAGAUUAUGGGUAGUCAAGUUUAUUCGAGUGUGGGAAUGUACUGCGACGUUUUAGUUUCUUUCAACACGAAAGAAUGUGGAUAAACUGCAAGUUUCUCCAGAUGUAAAUAAUGGUGUGUUAUGAAGAAGUUUCAGCGUAGUGACGAAGUCUGUUUAUCACUCCAUCUUGAGUUCUCUCCUCUCCUGCUGAAGCUGUUUCUCCUGCAGACGGGCAUUCUCCAAAGCCACCUUUAGCAGGCCCUGCAACACAUGUCCACAGGUUAUUGAUCCUGAACA